CAAUAGCGUAUAUUGACGUUGUUGCAGUUAAAAAGCUCGUAGUUGGAUUUCUGGAGGGAGCGUCGGCCCGUAUUUACGAGUGCGUGACGUCUCUGUCCAUCCUUGCGGGAAGGCACGGCAUUGAUUUGUUGUGUCGGAUCGCAUCAUUUACUGUGAAAAAAUUAGAGUGUUCAAAGCAGGCUUUCGCUUGAAUACAUUAGCAUGGAAUAAUAAGAUAGGACUUUGGUGCUAUUUUGUUGGUUGAGCCUAAAGUAAUGAUUAAUAGGGAUAGUUGGGGGCACCUGUAUUGCGUUGUCAGAGGUGAAAUUCUUGGAUUUACGCAAGACAAACAGCUGCGAAAGCGUCUGCCAAGGAUGUUUUCAUUAA
rnacentral:rRNA from 1 species